AACGAACGCUGGCGGCGUGGAUAAGACAUGCAAGUCGAACGAGCUUAGUUCUGUAGCAAUACAAGGCUAAGCGAGUGGCGAACGGGUGCGUAACACGUGAGCAAUCUGCCUUAAAGUGGGGGAUAGCUCGCCGAAAGGCGAAUUAAUACCGCAUGUGGUUGUAAAACCAAAGCCGGGGCAACCUGGCGCUUUUAGAGGAGCUCGCGGCCUAUCAGCUUGUUGGUGAGGUAACGGCUCACCAAGGCUUCGACGGGUAGCUGGUCUGAGAGGACGACCAGCCACACUGGAACUGAGACACGGUCCAGACACCUACGGGUGGCAGCAGUCGAGAAUUUUUCUCAAUGGGGGAAACCCUGAAGGAGCGACGCCGCGUGGAGGAUGAAUGCUUUCGGGUUGUAAACUCCUGUCAUUUGGGAACAAAGCCUUACGUUAACUGCGUGGAGGUUUGAUAGUACCAGAAGAGGAAGAGACGGCUAACUCUGUGCCAGCAGCCGCGGUAAUACAGAGGUCUCAAGCGUUGUUCGGAUUCAUUGGGCGUAAAGGGCGCGUAGGCGGCGGGGUAAGUCGGGUGUGAAAUCUCAGAGCUCAACUCUGAAACUGCACUCGAUACUGCUUUGCUAGAGGACUGGAGAGGAGAUUGGAAUUCACGGUGUAGCAGUGAAUGCGUAGAGAUCGUGAGGAAGACCAGUGGCGAAGCGGAUCUCUGGACAGUUCCUGACGCUGAGGCGCGAAGGCAGGGAGCAAACGGGAUUAGAUACCCCGGU
rnacentral:rRNA from 1 species